UCGGGUAGGAAAAAACCGACACCAAUCACCCAAUUUUGUUAAAGAAUUAAAGAAUACAAUUUGUAAAAUUUACAAAAGAGCAAAUAGAAGAGCUGCAAUGAGCAUUAGAACUGCAGCAGAUUGGAUAUCUUUAUGAAAAGAAGCCACCCUCCAGGAAGAGCACAUGUGGAGCAAAAAGCCCUCAGUUGGGGGCACACCCAAGUCUUUGGGCAAAGGACAGACCAAAUAGAGGCGGAUAAGGGCGCAGACCUAUUGGAAACCCAAAUCUUUUGGAGUUUAUUGAAACAGCUGCCUUCUUGCGACUGUUGGGCCUGUGGUGUCGUCUUCACUUGUCCAAAAG
rnacentral:lncRNA from 1 species